CUGUGCCACAACGUGAAAUCAACUGCCGUGUGCGUGUGUGUGUGUGUGUGUGUGUGUGUGACAUAAACUGAAACAAGUCUUAAUUGCUGUCUGUCCCUCUCCGCUGCACGCUGUCCGCCCGGCCAGUUCAGUCUCUCCGUGAACCUCGUCGCAUCGUCACAGAAAGAAAGAAACGAUGUCCCAGAAAUCGAACAUAGACGAUGUCCUGACGAUCUUGGGUUUCGGACGAUGGCAGAUUCCUAUUGUCCUCCUCACCGUUUUGAUCCAUAUGUACAUAACCAUCAACAUCGUGGGGUCGACCUUACUGAGUGUACCGAAGCCAUUCCGCUGCUUCUCCACACAAGAGACUAUAAGCAAUAUCAGCUCCACCACCAGCACCACCACCAGCCAGCCUCUUGCAGCGACCUAUGACAGCGUGUGUGAGCCUACCAACCAGACAGAGUUCCCCACAUCACCACCCUCGGCCUUGGCUCAUGCAUCUGGCCUCCCGUCGUGUCCUGUUGUUGAGUAUGAUCCCUCCGAGAGCCCCUACACUGUUAUCACGGAGUUUGACCUGGUGUGCGAGCGGGCUGUGCUGCGGCCGCUGUUCCAGAUUAGCGUCGCAAUAGGCAUACCUGUCGGGGGCCUGCUGGGCGGCGUCAUCGGCGACAAGUACGGACGCAAAACAGUGGUCAUCGGGGGCAAUUUGCUGAGCGCCGCGGGGGUCCUUGCCUUGGCUGCUUGCCCCUGGUACCUCGGCGUCCUCAUGUGCCGCUUCCUCCUCGGCAUCACUUUUUCCCUCACCCUCCUGCCCUCGUACAGUCUGGCGCAGGAGGUCAUCCCGUUACGUAUGCGCUCCCAGUCCGGCAUGCUGAUGGGGCUUGGGUUCUCGAUUGGCGCCGUGAUCAUGGCUGGGAUAGGUUAUUUGGUGAGGCCCUGGCGCUAUCUCCUGCUCGCCAUGUCCUCCUACCUCUUCGUCAUCAUCCCCUGGGCCUGUAUGGUGGAGGAGUCGCCGCGGUGGCUGAUGCAGAAAGGGCGCCAGGAGGAAGCUGCCGCCGCCCUGGAGAGAGCCGCCUAUCGCAACCGUGUAUUCAUGUCCUCCGAACUCAUCACUGCCAUUGAGAACCUGAGAACGAAAAGAACGGAGAUGGAGGAUGCAGAAAAUCGUGCCGAGGGCGAGGGUGUGUGCGCCUCGCUGUCCGGUUUGCGGCAGUGCUUCGGCCAGUUUCGGAAGUACUUCCGCUACCCUGGACUACGCCUGAUCCUGUUGGUCUCGCCGGUCGUGUGGUACCUGCAGAGUCUCCUGUAUAUGGGAAUUCUGCUCAAUGCCAACAACUUCACGAGCAAUGAUCCUUUCCUCUAUGUGGCAUUGUCCGGCGUGGCAGACACCGUUGCCGUCUUCCUUGGCACACCCCUCACCAUGAAGAUUGGGCGUUGUCUACUCUUGACGAUCUUCUACUCCAUGUCAGGCGUUCUCCUUCUCUUGGACAUAGCCAUCCCUACAGAACUCAGGUGGCUCAAGUGGGUGUUUGUUAUGACCGCCUUCCUGCUGUCCUCCGCCGGCUGGCAGGCUCAGUUCAUCUACACGCCGGAGCUCUACCCGACAGUCAUGAGGAGUAGGGGCUUCGGUUUGUGUAAUGCCGCCGGGAGCUUGGGUACUCUGACGGCUCCUCUCAUCACGGACCUUCUGGGACAGCAAACGUGGUGGUCUGUCAAUGUUGUCUGCGGCACGGCGGGGCUCAUCGCUGGCCUUUUGAUGCGCUGCCUUCCGGAGACGAGGAACCUGCCCAUGCCAGAGACGUUGCAGGACGUGGAGAGGCGGCGGAGGAGCCACAGGGAGACGAAGGCCGCAAAGGUUGUGGAAGAACUGAAUGAUGGAAAAAACGAUGUCCCAGAAAUCGAACAUAGACGAUGCCCUGACGAUCUUGGGUUACGGACGAUGGCAGAUUCCUUUUGUCCUCCUCACCGUUUUGAUCCACUUGUACUUACCCAUUCACGUCGUGGGGUCGACCUUACUGAGUGUACCGAAGCCGUUCCGAUGCUUCUCCACACAAGGUACAAGCAAUAUCACCUCAACCACCAGCACGACCACCAGCCAGCCUCUUGCAGCGACCUAUGACAGCGUGUGUGAGCCUACCAACCAGACGGAGUUCCCCAAAUCGCCACCCUCGGCCUUGGCGCAUGUGACUGAGCUGUCGUCGUGCCCUGUUGUUGAGUAUGACCCUUCCUCGAACCCCUACACUGUUAUUACGGAGUUCGACUUGGUGUGCGAUCGGUCUGCGCUGCGGCCGCUCUUUCAGAUGAGUGUGUCCAUGGGCCUACCGUUCGGGGGACUGCUGGGCGGUGUCAUCAGCGACAAGUAAAGUACGGGCGCAAAACAGUGGUCAUCGCGGGCAGUGUGCUGAGCGCCGCGGGGGUCCUUGCCUUGGCUGCUUGCCCCUGGUACCUCGGCGUCCUCAUGUGCCGCUUCCUCCUCGGCACGACCGUCUCCCUCGCCAUCCUGCCCUCGUACAGUCUGGGUGAGUUACUGAGCCUGAACCACCCUAACACAGUGGCAUCCUAGAAGCGUUAUCUGGUGAGCAAGGUCGACCUAGAUUUGUCCUGCAAGGAAAACGACUGAUAAUGAAGAUGAUGAUGAUGGUUGGCAGAAAAUGGUUAGGUGGAAUCAUUUAUUUAAAAAAAGGUAUGAAUUACUCUGGUCUAAUUUCUGAGCGACGUCGAUUUUAAGGGCCAAGGAAAGAGGAAAGCAUUAUAUUUUUUUUAUAUAGGAAAUAAGGCUAUUCAAAGGAGCAAAAAUAAGAGAAAAAAAAAGUUCGCAAGACGCUGAAGUACACUGCAAAUAUGAUGAUAACGU